ACCCACAGUGCACUGCUCCCUCCUCCUUCUGUCCAAGGUCACGCCACCUCCCUCACCUUUUUUUUGUAGGUCAUGAGGGAUGACCGUGACCUUGAGGUGACCUUCUUCAGUGUUCCACCCAAUCAGGCACAGCCAUUGGAAGGAAUGAUGCCCUUAAACUACAUUUCCCAGUAUCCACCACAGAAAAGAAGGUUUGGUACAUCAAAAGCAGGAUAUGUAGUGAGAUGCCCAUUGUGACAUGUACAAAAAUACAACUCCGAGAACCACAACAGAAGGGGCUUGAGUGUCACUGCAGUAUUAGCUUUGGCCCCACAUGGAAGAAGUUACGGGUAGGUACAUGUGUACACACAAAACAUGCCAUUAUCAUUCCCAUGCUUGACUGUAAACACUAGCUCUUUUCCAGGUCAAAGGCUGUGACUGCCAAUAACACACACUUUAUGCACAAGGUGAUCAAGUCACACAUUUAUUUCAACAAAUAGUUUAUUUAACGUAUCACACAAUCCAACAUGCUAAAAUAACGUUUAAUCGAUCUGUGUGUGUGGGUGUCCAUUUUAACACAAGUAAUACACAUUUAACACAUUUAAACAAGGAGUCACAACACCCGUGGUUCGGAAUUGAAUAAAGUUAGCUUUGGCAAGGAAAAGCUCCCAGAAUGCACUCACGGCUGUGAGGGGAUCGCCUACUCUAGCCCUUUUGAGGAACGUUUGUCCAGAUACCGCAGAUGAAAAGCGCUGUCAAGUCUAGGAUAUAAUUUACCAGAAUUCUUGAAUGGCAUGUCAAUCAAUCAAUCAAUCAAUCAAUCAAUCAAUACCCAGGCUGAGUACAAAGGCAGUUACAUUCCCACUCAAAGAUGUGUGAGAAAGUGAUGGGUUUGGCACAAGGGUCUCCUGCUGCUCCUGAGUUAGUCACUAUUUACCUCAGGUGCAUCCCCCACUCUGUAUAUUAAAGGUGGGUGUGAUUCUAAUCCCAUACACUCUGUCAAUUAAAGGUGAGGUGGGUGAUUCUAAUCCCCUACUUUCUGCCAAUUAAUGGUGUGGUCUGUAUUCUAAUCCCACAUACUUGCUGUCAAAUUCAGCUAACUGCUGCUCACCGUCCUCCAGCUUACUGUCCUUUAGGAGCUCAGGGGAGGAGUGCAGCUUUAUUGGCUGUUGAGCUCAAAUAUGAUAUAUCAAAAUAAGAGCCUUUCACCAGAAUCACUGACUGCAUUCUAAUAAAAGGAUGUAAAACAGCACUACCCUCAUAGCGACGACUGACUGACUGACUGGAACUGUGCUGAUCGCUAAUUUGGAGAGGAGUGAGAGGAGUGUUGUCACCUUAUAAUCUUACAAAAAAAUAAAAGGAAAACAAAUAGUACAGUACAAGGACAUUCAAGAACAAACCGUGUGGUAACCAGUUCACAUCUAUGCGUUCAAAGGAUGGUCUCAGACCUGCCGGACAGGGCUGUCUCCAGUGCCUACAUUGAUAACUAGAAAAUGAAGGAUUUUCAAACUUCUUGCAGUAGGAAAUGACCUUGUUUGAACCCCUUUUUAGCACAUACACAUUGGUGGUUAUAGUUAGAUGAGUCCCAUAGCAUUUGUAUGAAGAACUUAUCCACAAUGCAUCCACAAAUGCACAGUAUCCAGUGGGUAUAACCACUCAUUCAUAAAUUCAUUCACACUGUGACAUUAACCUACUGGGACCUUUGCUGCUGAGGUACAUUAUGGCAAGUACAAUAGUCCUUUUUUGCUCUUUGUAUCCCAUAAUUUCAUCAGUCCCCCACUGCGCCGGACCUGGAACAGCAUCUGGGUCCUCGUAGAGACAUCCUCAGUCCGACUUUCCUCUUUUUCUUUCCGUUCUCCUGUGGUCCAUCCUCGGAGGCUUUCCCUUCCUCCCCACCGUCUUCCUUAGGGUCACCCUGACCUUUGCCCUCUGGGUCAGCGGUCUCCGUGGCAGUCGACUCCUUGAUCUGCAGAUCUAGGUGUUUCUGUAUGGCCUGACCCAACUCCUCCGGGUCCACGGCCGCCCCGUACACCUCCCACGUCAUCCCCUCGUCAUCCCACUCCACGUCCCU
ensembl:lncRNA